rnacentral:lncRNA from 1 species
UAGUGUAGUAGACUAGUCCACAUUUAUACUUCAUUAUUAAUUCAUCACUUUGAAGCACUUCUUACUUGUGAUGUAUUUUUAGAACUGUUCCCAGCCAACUAGCUUCCUACCUUCCCAGAGGGCCCCGAUUACCUCCUGGGGCCGCAAUCCACCGACCCCCUCCAGCCCUGAGACCAGUGAGACCUCUGGACCCACCAGCUCCACCUCUACAUCAUUGGUCAUCAAGAACGAGAGCUUCAGGAAGGAAAGCUUUGUGAGUUUCUCUUUAAAACCAGCAUCAGGAAACCAAGUAAGUAGCAUGUAUGCAUUAUAACUGCAUCUUUGUCUUAUCGUACCGUUUAAAUAUGACUGAGUAUUCUGUAUGUCUUUUUUAUUCAAACAGGUGGUCCAGCUGACUGG